GUAGGUGGCAAGCGUUGUCCGGAAUUAGUGGGCGUAAAGCGCGCGCAGGCGGUUCUUUAAGUCUGAUGUGAAAGCCCACGGCUCAACCGUGGAGGGUCAUUGGAAACUGGAGAACUUGAGUACAGAAGAGGAAAGCGGAAUUCCACGUGUAGCGGUGAAAUGCGUAGAGAUGUGGAGGAACACCAGUGGCGAAGGCGGCUUUCUGGUCUGUAACUGACGCUGAGGCGCGAAAGCGUGGGGAGCAAACAGGGAUUAGAUACCCUGGUAGUCCACGCCGUAAACGAUGAGUGCUAAGUGUUAGGGGGUUUCCCGCCCCUUAGUGCUGCAGCUAACGCAUUAAGCACUCCGCCUGGGGAGUACGGCCGCAAGGCUG
rnacentral:rRNA from 1 species